UGGGGAAUAUUGCACAAUGGAGGAAACUCUGAUGCAGCGAUGCCGCGUGAGGGAAGAAGGUUUUAGGAUUGUAAACCUCUGUCUUCAGGGACGAAAAAAGGACGGUACCUGAGGAGGAAGCUCCGGCUAACUACGUGCCAGCAGCCACGGUAAUACGUAGGGAGCGAGCGUUGUCCGGAAUUACUGGGUGUAAAGGGAGCGUAGGCGGGAUCGCAAGUCAGAUGUGAAAACUAUGGGCUUAACCCAUAAACUGCAUUUGAAACUGUGGUUCUUGAGUGAAGUAGAGGUAAGCGGAAUUCCUAGUGUAGCGGUGAAAUGCGUAGAUAUUAGGAGGAACAUCAGUGGCGAAGGCGGCUUACUGGGCUUUAACUGACGCUGAGGCUCGAAAGCGUGGGGAGCAAACAGGAUUAGAUACCCUGGUAGUCCACGCCGUAAACGAUGAUUACUAGGUGUGGGGGGACUGACCCCUUCCGUGCCGCAGCAAACGCAAUAAGUAAUCCACCUGGGGAGUACGACCGCAAGGUUGAAACUCAAAGGAAUUGACGGGGGCCCGCACAAGCAGUGGAGUAUGUGGAUUAAUUCGAAGCAACGCGAAGAACCUUACCAGGUCUUGACAUCGUAUGCAUAGCUCAGAGAUGAGUGAAAUCUCUUCGGAGACAUAUAGACAGGUGGUGCAUGGUUGUCGUCAGCUCGUGUCGUGAGAUGUUGGGUUAAGUCCCGCAACGAGCGCAACCCUUACUGUUAGUUGCUACGCAAGAGCACUCUAGCAGGACUGCCGUUGACAAAACGGAGGAAGGUGGGGAUGACGUCAAAUCAUCAUGCCCCUUAUGACCUGGGCCUCACACGUACUACAAUGGCUGUAAACAGAGGGAAGCAAAGCCGCGAGGUAGAGCGAACCCCUAAAAGCAGUCUUAGUUCGGAUUGUAGGCUGCAACCCGCCUACAUGAAGUCGGAAUUGCUAGUAAUCGCAGAUCAGCAUGCUGCGGUGAAUACGUUCCC
rnacentral:rRNA from 1 species